UUGUGUGGAUUUUCACGAUGACGAUGCCAAACCGGUACUUUUAAAACGAUUCUGAUUCUUAAAAAACUGAAAAAUGACAUCAAAGCAAGGCUCUUUUAUAGAGUUUUUUUAAACAGAAAAUUAUUUAAAUUUAACAAUAUAUUAACGUUUUAAAGUACUUAAAUAGAUAAUAAGUAAACCUAAGUCACCUAACACAUAACUACAAAAAAAAACUAAAUUAACAAAUAAAAGUAACA